rnacentral:rRNA from 1 species
GUUCUCGUUGAUGAUCGGUGCUUGCACCGAGAUUCAACAUGGGAACGAGUGGCGGACGGGUGAGUAACACGUGGGUAACCUGCCCUUAAGUGGGGGAUAACAUUUGGAAACAGAUGCUAAUACCGCAUAGAUCCAAGAACCGCAUGGUUCUUGGCUGAAAGAUGGCGUAAGCUAUCGCUUUUGGAUGGACCCGCGGCGUAUUAGCUAGUUGGUGAGGUAAUGGCUCACCAAGGCGAUGAUACGUAGCCGAACUGAGAGGUUGAUCGGCCACAUUGGGACUGAGACACGGCCCAAACUCCUACGGGAGGCAGCAGUAGGGAAUCUUCCACAAUGGACGCAAGUCUGAUGGAGCAACGCCGCGUGAGUGAAGAAGGCUUUCGGGUCGUAAAACUCUGUUGUUGGAGAAGAAUGGUCGGCAGAGUAACUGUUGUCGGCGUGACGGUAUCCAACCAGAAAGCCACGGCUAACUACGUGCCAGCAGCCGCGGUAAUACGUAGGUGGCAAGCGUUAUCCGGAUUUAUUGGGCGUAAAGCGAGCGCAGGCGGUUUUUUAAGUCUGAUGUGAAAGCCCUCGGCUUAACCGAGGAAGCGCAUCGGAAACUGGGAAACUUGAGUGCAGAAGAGGACAGUGGAACUCCAUGUGUAGCGGUGAAAUGCGUAGAUAUAUGGAAGAACACCAGUGGCGAAGGCGGCUGUCUGGUCUGUAACUGACGCUGAGGCUCGAAAG